rnacentral:rRNA from 1 species
CCUACGGGAGGCAGCAGUGGGGAAUAUUGGGCAAUGGGCGCAAGCCUGACCCAGCAACGCCGCGUGAAGGAAGAAGGCCCUCGGGUUGUAAACUUCUUUUAGUAGGGACGAAACAAAUGACGGUAGCGAAAGAAUAAGCGACGGCUAACGACGGGGCAGCAGCCGCGGUAAUACGUAGGUGGCAAGCUUUAGCCGGAUUUACGGUGUGUAAAGGGCGUGUAGGCGGGAGAGCAAGUCAGACGUGAAAUUCCAGGGCUCAACCCUGGAACUGCGUUUGAAACUGUUCUUCUUGAGUGCUGGAGAGGCAGGCGGAAUUCCGUGUGUAGCGGUGAAAUGCGUCGAUAUACGGAGGAACACCAGUGGCGACGGCGGCCUGCUGGACUUUAACUGACGCUGAGGCGCGAAAGCGUGGGGAGCAAACAGGAUUAGAUACCCCGGUAGUC